rnacentral:tRNA from 1 species
GCGGGUGUAGUUCAAUGGUAGAAUUCCAGCCUUCCAAGCUGGUCGUGUGAGUUCGAUUCUCAUCACCCGCUCCA